rnacentral:rRNA from 1 species
AGCAGCCGCGGUAAUUCCAGCUCCAAUAGCGUAUAUUAAAGUUGUUGCAGUUAAAAAGCUCGUAGUUGAAUUUCGGGGUUAGUAGAUUGGUCAUGCCUCUGGUAUGUACUGGUCUCACUGAUUCCUCCUUCCUGAUGAACCUUAAUGCCAUUAAUUUGGUGUUUUGGGGAAUUUGGACUGUUACUUUGAAAAAAUUAGAGUGUUUAAAGCAAGCUAACGCUUGAAUACAUUAGCAUGGAAUAAUGAAAUAGGACGUUCGAUCCUAUUUUGUUGGUUUCUAGGAUUGACGUAAUGAUUAAUAGGGAUAGUUGGGGGCAUUAGUAUUCAAUUGUCAGAGGUGAAAUUCUUGGAUUUAUUGAAGACUAACUACUGCGAAAGCAUUUGCCAAGGAUGUUUUCAUUAAUCAAGAACGAAAGUUAGGGGAUCGAAGACGAUCAGAUACCGUCGUAGUCUUAACCAUAAACUAUGCCGACUAGGGAUCGGAUGAUGUUAAUUUUUUAAUGACUCAUUCGGCGCCUUACG